CCUUUACCAAGCCUAGGUCUUUGAAACCAGAGCAGAGCAUGGGAUUUCCUAUGAUGGAUGUAAAUGGUAGUCCUGUAUAGUACCCAUCCUGGGACUACCUGGUUGCUGGAGCAUCUGAGCGUGGUGAAGCCACUUGCUGCAACAGGGCACUUAAGCACAGCCUGUAGAGCCACGUGUACCGAUCCAGUUGGUAAUUACUGGAGUCAUUUUCUCCAGUCUGGGAGUGAAGUGGUCACGGGAGUCACAUUCUGGGUGAGAAAGAAAAGCUUUGUACAGAGACGUGAGCUUUAAUCAGGGGACAGCAGACAAGCAUUUUAGAAAGUCUCCCCUUGCCUCGCGGUGAUGAAGAAUAAAUGACCCACCAGCAAAUGACUCCCUACGCUACUGCUACAGCUCCCUGGAAAUACCCACAAUGCUUCUGCCUGGAUUUCAAAGAUGGUCUGGGCCUCACUGUGGUCAUUAGUGCUGUAGGAAAAACAGCAGUCGAUCAAUGGAUUGACUCUGGGGAGAUGCUUCCGGGUUUCAUCGCUCUAAGCCACAGUUACAAGGGUUUUAUUUUCUAGAUCAUUUCUACGAGAAAUAAAAUUACUGUGAAUAUUUCUGUACAAGCUUUUGUGUUGCAACAUGGUCCUGUGCCUCCUGGGAAAAGCAGAUAGAAAAACACGCAGCUUGCCUUUCUCCCACGGUUUCUACAGACAGCAUGGACUCCAACACAGCAGGUUAAAGAGUGUUGAUCUACAGAGCAAUUGGCAAGAGCAUUGGAUUUUCAUUGUUCUUGAUCUGAAAUGCCAAUGUAAGAUGCUCUCUGUUGGACUCAAUCGGCAGAAAACAUCCUGAGCAGGCAAUAUGUACACAGAGAAGGCAAACCAUGCUACGUGAUGGCUGUACUAGAGACUCCUGCCAGACCCUGGCAUACAGUAGCCACUCGAUGCUAAUUCUUCCCAAAGCGUCAUCUCUCAUGUGAAAUCUUCGUCCAAGCUGUUUCUUCCAGGGUGCAGCUCCUGCAAGGCUCUCCAUGCUACAGUGGGUUGUCCUGCACCAAUUCACAUACAGGCAGCAUAGCAUGGACACACUGGGAAACCACAAGAAGUUGAGAGGGAAAGUGGGUGUAACUGAAGGAUGCGAAACUGGGUGAUCAAAACACCUUGUAUCCAUGCAUGAAGUGCUCAAGUAACCAAAGAUUCAGUUGCUAAAUAAAGAGCCAUCCCUUCCAUUGCUGGCUUGUGAUCUACACGGAGCCCUGAGGACACAAUCUGAAU
rnacentral:lncRNA from 1 species